rnacentral:ncRNA from 1 species
ACGGAAGCUUGGUGAGGCCAAGCCCGAGUCGGAAGAGAAGACUCGGACUCCCGAUCCCGGCUUCCCAGCACGGAUCCCGGCACCCACGCGGAGCACAUGCCGCGGAAUAGGCAGAAGUGUUGCGGGCCUGCGUAUUUGCGAAAAGCGGACGACAUCGACGGCCCCUUGGGCGGGGUUGCAGUCGCAGCGCAUCGACAAGACGCCGAGGCCGCCCACGCAACCCACGUGAGCACGCUUGGUAACCGGCGUCCGUGCUAGCGGGCGGCGAACCGAACUCGUUUCGGGGCGCCGCCCGCUUUGCGUU